AUUGAACGCUGGCGGCAGGCCUAACACAUGCAAGACGAACGGUAACAGGAAGAAGCUUGCUUCUUUGCUGACGAGUGGCGGACGGGUGAGUAAUGUCUGGGAAACUGCCUGAUGGAGGGGGAUAACUACUGGAAACGGUAGCUAAUACCGCAUAACGUCGCAAGACCAAAGAGGGGGACCUUCGGGCCUCUUGCCAUCGGAUGUGCCCAGAUGGGAUUAGCUAGUAGGUGGGGUAACGGCUCACCUAGGCGACGAUCCCUAGCUGGUCUGAGAGGAUGACCAGCCACACUGGAACUGAGACACGGUCCAGACUCCUACGGGAGGCAGCAGUGGGGAAUAUUGCACAAUGGGCGCAAGCCUGAUGCAGCCAUGCCGCGUGUAUGAAGAAGGCCUUCGGGUUGUAAAGUACUUUCAGCGGGGAGGAAGGGAGUAAAGUUAAUACCUUUGCUCAUUGACGUUACCCGCAGAAGAAGCACCGGCUAACUCCGUG
rnacentral:rRNA from 1 species